GGCGCCGGUGGAGGCACCUCCGGGGACCCCCCGGGGCGGGGAUCGACCCCCCGCGGCGCC
rnacentral:sRNA from 1 species